rnacentral:rRNA from 1 species
AGCUUAUUUUGCGCAGCUUAGGUGGGAGGCUAUGAACCUUUUCUUCUGGGAAGAGGGGAGCCGUCAGUGAGAUACCACUCUUGGUAAGCUAGAGCGCUCAGUCUUAACCGUCAUCCGGUAAGACGACAGUUUCAGGCGGGCAGUUUGACUGGGGCAGUCACCUCCCAAAAGGUAAUGGAGGUGUGCAAAGGUUCCCUCAGGCUGGACGGAAAUCAGCCAUAGGGUGUAAAAGCAAAAGGGAGCUUGACUGCGAGACUGACAU